rnacentral:rRNA from 1 species
UACCAGCACCCCGAGUGGUCGGGACGAUUAUUGGGCCUAAAGCAUCCGUAGCCGGUUUUACAAGUCCUCCGUUAAAUCCAUCUGCUUAACAGAUGGGCUGCGGAGGAUACUAUAAGACUAGGAGGCAGGAGAGGCAAGCGGUACUCAGUGGGUAGGGGUAAAAUCCGUUGAUCCAUUGAAGACCACCAGUGGCGAAGGCGGCUUGCCAGAAUGCGCUCGACGGUGAGGGAUGAAAGCUGGGGGAGCAAACCGG